rnacentral:lncRNA from 1 species
AUUAGUUGUUGUUAUGCAAGAUAAUGUUUGUCUAAUAAUUGCACCAUUCUUCGUUUAUCAAUUCGCAUAAAAAUAUUUUACAUUAGCGUUUUUUGUGUACAUUAUAAAACUCUCAAAGUUUGAUGUUUCUCUUAACUGUAAAAAAAAUUAAAAAAAAAAAAAAAAUGGAUGAUACACGUCGAACAACAAAUACCGAGUGUUUUUUUUUUUUUUUUGUUCGGUGCGUUAAUAGUUUUGAGACCUAUCGAUACUUUUUAAAAUUCGCAUUUUGUAUCAUCGGUUGGAUUAUUUACAGACACACGACCGGAAUUGUUAAAGGGGUGUCGACAGUUCAUGGAACAACACCGCCUCUUUAGCAGUCCUGUGAGGUAUAAGUCUCCACCCCCUAUUGAUCAAGCGGGGUGAAGGGGGUUUUGUGUGUCUUUCUGGGGAAAUUGAUUUCGGGGGUCGUAUAAAGACACCCAUGUCUCGUCAAUGAACGUACGCUAGCGACCUCGAGUGAAAGCUUCUGUAACUAGAGUGGGAAAUGAUCUAUCGAUUCCGUCUCUUUAACCCAAUCCCGACGACCGUGAUAAAUUUUAAUCCUUUUUAAUUUCCCGAAAUUUAGAUAAAAGAAAAUUCGUUCGUUUUCGACUGCUAAAAAAGUAUUAGAGGGAGAGGAAAAAUAUAUAAAUAUAUAUAAGAAGUUUCUUUCAAAGCGAUAACAGUCGUUACAAUACCAGAUUAUGUGGACUGCGUACAGGUGUUGCAGACCUGCAGCAAAAGCGGUAAUCACAAUUUUGUAAAGUCCCGACCAUAACCGUGCACACUAAUAAAACAGCAACACUUGGGGAUUAAGUAGGUCCAAGUGCUUUCGUAUACGACCGUCCUGAACGUCUUAGUGAUUUACAUUCACCCAACCCCUAUUUCACUCGAUAGAGUUGUGCGACUUCCAGUUUCGAUUACCGAUUUAAUGAUAACGUUUCUGUAGGUCCCGUUCAGAAGUGACAUGGGAGCGAGAGAAGAGAGAUCGUUACCCUAUAACUACGAAACUUUACGAACUUGAGUAGCAAUUCGACAGCAGUUUAGUAUAGCUGUAAAGCAGUGCCAUCUGCAGAUAUGCCGUAUAAUGAUCUAGACUGGAUACCUACCUUUUACUAAAGACUCUGCUAUCCACGGCAAGGAUUCAGAUGAUUCUUUUCUCAAUGAUAGUCAGGUCCGUGACGAAAAAGGACCCACGUUUCUUUUCCCCGUGGGACUAAUUUCUAGAGUCUCUCUCUCUCUCUUCUUUCUCCUGUCUCCAAAAAGUAAAAUGUUGCUCUUAAACCGUUGUAGGUUCUAGUAGGGAAAUUUUCCUCUGUAAAUAAUUGUCAGAAGAAAACUCUUAUCCUUAUUUCGGAAAAUAAAAUCGUUCGAAUCUUCUUCCAUCAUUAAAAUAGAAAAGUUAUAUCCCGAAUCUUUGGGUUAUUGCUAAAUUUAGGAGAGAUUUCGAUCAAAAAUUGCUUUUAGAAGAUAGUUUUAAAUUAUCGUCCGACUAUGUC